CAACCCUCAAGCCCGGCUUGUGUGAUGGGUCCCUUCGUCCCGACUGGGGGACGGGCCCGAAAGGCAGUGGCGGCGUCGCGGUUUUCCGUUCGGCCUGAGUGUAUGGGGCUCUGUCACACGCUCAUCAGCCUAGGACCGGCGCUGGCCUUGAGUUCAAUCUUUCUUCUA
rnacentral:misc_RNA from 2 species